rnacentral:siRNA from 1 species
GGCCAACACUUUCCAUAUGAGUGA